AAAAAAUGGGACUAGUGAAUUAAUAAUUCGGUAGAUGCAUGCUGUUGCUAAUUCAAUAUAUGAAGUGGUACUGGUAGGUAAUGUGAAGCAUGCUGUAAGCAGCUUCUUUAAGGAAGCAAUUAAAUUGUUACAUGUGUAAUUUUAAAGGUCUUAGGCUUGACCCACCAGAAUUGAUGUACAUAAUCAGAAUUUAGGAGUGGGAUUCAUGGCUUGUUUCCAAUCACUGAAAUAUUUUUUCUAACCUUUUGUUUUUCAAUCUUGCAGAUGAUGAGAAAUCCUUUGCGGAUG
rnacentral:misc_RNA from 1 species